AUGGUGUUCAAUGUGAGCACCACCCAGGCGUACUUCGGCAAUGGCACCAAACUCACAGUUCUGGAUCCAAACAUCAAAGUCACUGAACCCACAGUGAAAGUCCUAGCACCCUCCGCUAAGGAGUGUGAAGAUAGAAACAAGAAGAAGAAGAAGACCCUAGUGUGUGUAGCCACCCGCUUCUACCCCGACCACGUCACGGUCUUCUGGCAAGUCAACAAUGUCAACAGAACUGAAGGUGCCGGGACCGACAACAGGGCCUUGUGGGAUAAAGAUGGUUUAUACAGUAUCACCAGCAGACUGAGAGUCCCAGCCAAUGAAUGGCACAAACCAGAGAACAGAUUCACCUGCAGUGUCAGCUUUUACAAUGGGACUGACAAUAUAUAUGUGAAUGACACCAUUAGUGGAGAUCUCCAAGGUCAAACUGGGGGAGAGAUAACGACAGAUUACUAUGUGAAGAGCACCCAGACUGCCAAGCUGGCCUACAGCAUCUUCAUCGCUAAGAGUACCUUCUACGGCCUGGUCGUCAUGGUUAUGAUUUGGAAGUUCCAGGGCUCCUCAGAGAAACAGAUUUAACGGAAUACAAGCGGCCCAAGGAGGAUGUCCUGCAUGGGUGUUGAUUCUUCCAUGUGAUCAAGAACGGACUGGCAAAUGGGCAAUUCUGGCAAAUGCCAGAUGGACCGAUUCAUCUUUAGCCCAGUGGGCCUGUCUAAAUAGUAUCAUUUUUUUAGCAAAAUAAUAAUAAUUUGUCUAGUAAAGAGGGUCUUAAAGAAAAACAUGGGCAGGUGUGUUAGAAAUGCCUGGGCCGGUUUCUGGUCCCAGUUUGCCCCUGCAUGUAAUUGUAUUGUCCAUUGUGCUUAUUGUUGCCAGUAUCUUUUUAUUGCCCUGUCUAUGUGAAGAUGUGCUUUUUAGAAUCUCCUAUGAACAUGAACUUGCAAUUUAAAUGUAUAUUUGAAUCAAUUCAGCCAAACCAAUCUUUCCAUUAACUUACAAAAUCAAUGACUGUUUGUUUUUCCAGUAAUUACAGUAGAGUAUGUAUCGAUACACUUUGCUUUCCAAUUUCUAAAUGUUAGUUUGUGAAUAAUAAACUGUAUAUAAUUAGGGACAGAUCAAAAUGUACCUCUCCACAGUUAAAUAUUUUCAGGACCCUCCCCCUCAUAGAAUUAACUCAAUAUAAUGUUUACGACCACAAUAACAAGAACUGUAGCGACCCUGUUUUUAUCAACGUGGAUAUUGACUUUGCCACUUCAGUCUGCUUUUCUGGCACAGUUGAUGCCACGCAGGGCUUUGGGCCAGAAGGUUGAAGGUUCACCGACCACCACAGACAAGCUCCCUCUCCCUGCCUGUUUCAUCACAUUACGAUCAGAGUCGGAGGCAGACCAUGAUCAGCUAGGGGGAAAUCAGAUUUUCAACAUUUUGAUGCCAUAUUUAUAUAAAAUAUAUUCAACGAAUCUUCCACCGACAGGUUUAAUAACCAAUGAACAAAGCAAACCACCUUCUGGCACUUCAAUAUCACGGUUUGUGUUGUGAACAAACAGAACAUACACCCCUCCCUACCUUGUAGACUUACCCAGUAUUGAAGGCUUGGCUUGACAAUCUCCUAGUGUCAUUAAACUUUAUAGUGUUUUGGAACAAUGUCUCUUUUCAUUCAUCAUUUGGCCACUGCACAGUUUGGAUUGAUUGAUUUUAUUUGUCUGUAAAAUACAUAUAUAAGUGACUGGGAUUGCACAAUAAAGUCUGGGACUUAUUUC